CCAACACCACCCUACAACACAUACAUGAAUAGAUAGAGCUCCACGAGACCUAUCUUUUCCUACCCAUUUCAUCCCCAAAAUCCCCGUCGCCGCCGGCCCGCUCCUCGCUGCCGCCACGGCUCCACCGCCUCACCACCGUCAAAAUGCUCCAAACCCCCAUUUUAGCUAUUUUUUGACUCAAAGACACUCGUUUCUUUUGGCGAGAUGCUGAAACGCAUUUCGUUCUAGCAUCUACCCAAAAGAAACAUGCGUUUCAGAGUAGGGUAGUCGCCUUUUAGCAUCUCCGGCGUCUUCUCGUGGCUCGAACGGCUUCAAGCAUACUUGUUAGAUUCUUGAUGAUAAUAAGAAGGAUUUGAUCCCGGUUUGGUUGAUGGAACAUAUUAGAUCUGAUUUUGUUUCAAGAUGAAUGUUAUAUUAGUGUUAUCAUCAUGUAAAUCUGUUAAAAAUUAGUUAAAUUAUCGUUUUCUUCUUUA